rfam:Capsicum annuum cultivar Zunla-1 chromosome 5, whole genome shotgun sequence
CGAUGAUGGUGAAGGCAAUUUCUUAGUAUCCCCUUAAAUCUUUCCCAAGCUUGGUAGUGAUUUUCUCCUUUUUUCUUCCUGAAACUCAGAAUCUCACUUCUCAAAUG